UCGCCAGCUGUGAAGAGGGCCUUUAGUGAUUUCCCUGACAGCUUGUCCUCUGCGGCUUUCGGUCAGUGAUGUAUUACCUCAAACACAGUCCGUUUGAAACAACUUAACUGACUUACCAGCGAGGUGGGAAGGAUCGCUCAGAGGCGAGGACCUGGGUCUUAAAUAUCAGUCUAAGCUAACACAUCAGUUUGAAUAUAUAGAGAAGCCCCAAGAACUAAUAGCUAUCACGAAUUGAACCAUCAUAUUCCCGUGUUGCUAUAAAACUAAUGACAUUUACCGUGUCACCAGCUACAUAAUGAGCUCAAGGCUAGCCUGGCCUACAUGUGAUAUGAGUAAUAUCUUACAUUGGGCAGAGAGAUGAUGUUCUGAACUGUUGAAUGAUCAUAAGACUACUGUGUAAUCCAAGCUUUCUGCUAAAGAACAAAAACUUCAUCCACCCCCUUCCAAUGGGCUGUCAGUCAUCUGAACAGGAUACCUCAUAGGAAAGCUCACCAGGAAAGGAGAAAAAAAGCAACCAUUCAAAAAUAGAAGGAACCUGGCUGACCUGGACCUUGGCCAAAGCAUGCUUGUAGUAUGUAUAAUCACCUGACAGUAGCUGGAGUGAACCACUUCUGAGGGGCUAAUGAUUGAGGAGUGUACGCUGCUCCCUUCGAGGCAACAAGGAAGAUAAACAGGCUUGGCCCAUCAGGAUGAAGGAAAAGGAGAAGAAAAUUGGGCAAACAGAUUCAUAAAGCAUUGUCUCAGAACCGAUCAACAUGGGGCUGUCUGUAGACAAAGUCACAAGGAACUCCACACACAGGAACUUGGUGUCAUGAUUAAAGUGAGAUGCCUGGCAAGAAGGAUCUCCUUCCCUUGAGUGUA